AACGUAGGAGACAAACGUUAUCCGGAGUUACUGGGCGUAAAGGGCGUGUAGGUGGUUGCGUAAGUCUGGCGUGAAAUAUCUCGGCUUAACCGAGGCAGGUCGUCGGAUACUGCGUAACUGGAGGACGGUAGAGGCGUGUGGAAUUCCGGGUGUAGUGGUGAAAUGCGCAGAUAUCGGGAGGAACACCAGUAGCGAAGGCGGCACUCUGGGCCGGUACUGACGCUGAGGAGCGAAAGCGUGGGGAGCGAACAGG
rnacentral:rRNA from 1 species